AUUGAACGCUGGCGGCAUGCCUUACACAUGCAAGUCGAACGGCAGCACGGGGGCAACCCUGGUGGCGAGUGGCGAACGGGUGAGUAAUGCAUCGGAACGUGCCCAGUAGUGGGGGAUAACCAGUCGAAAGACUGGCUAAUACCGCAUACGACCUAAGGGUGAAAGCGGGGGACCGUAAGGCCUCGCGCUAUUGGAGCGGCCGAUGUCUGAUUAGCUAGUUGGCGGGGUAAGAGCCCACCAAGGCGACGAUCAGUAGCUGGUCUGAGAGGACGACCAGCCACACUGGAACUGAGACACGGCCCAGACGCCGACGGGAGGCAGCAGUGGGGAAUUUUGGACAAUGGGCGAAAGCCUGAUCCAGCCAUGCCGCGUGUCUGAAGAAGGCCUUCGGGUUGUAAAGGACUUUUGUCAGGGAGGAAAUCCCUAGCGUUAAUACCGCUGGGGGAUGACAGUACCUGAAGAAUAAGCACCGGCUAACUACGUGCCAGCAGCCGCCGUAAUAC
rnacentral:rRNA from 1 species